rnacentral:lncRNA from 1 species
GGAUCGUCCUCGCAACACUGCAAGGAUUGCCUGUCGAGUUUGUCUUGAAGAUUUUCAAACAUCAAUAACAUGUAUCCUUUUAAUUGUUUUAAUAUCAAUUUAUACUAUCCCAGCAUUGGAGAAAUUUCUGACCAUGUAUCUAGAUAGGAAUAACAUGGUAAGCAAGCGUGGCGCUGGACUGGACGCGCGAUAGCGUGCACGCGCAUGCAAACACAUGUAAAUAUGUAAACAGUUAUUCUGCGAACUCGAGUCGUAUAUGAGCUGAUAGCCGACGAGGUGCGUAUCUGUCAUAUACGACGAGAGUGAGUAGAAUAACUGUUUAUAGACAACUGCUGCAUUUACACACUCUUCAGUAUGGCAAUAUGUUGACAAUUAGUUUGGCAAUUUACACAACCUCGUAGCCUAAACCUGAGAAAACACUGCUGCUAGUUUUUUAAAUCAGUACUUCGAACAUGAAAUUUUUUUUAGACAAAACAAGUGCUUGUCGACUUUACAGAAAUUCUAUAAAGAGUUUUCGCUUUUAAAUCAGUUUUGUCAAAAAAUUAUAUUCUGAUUCUUGUUCAUGUUUUUAUCUUCGACUUCGCUCUUUCGAGUUUCGUUUUAAAUACUUUAUUGGAUAGUGACCAAACGGUAGGAGUGCGAACGGGACUCGAGGUCCCAUGCGAGGCACUCCUCCGAUUAAAGAUACAACAACAGACAAUACAUGUAGAAUAAAAUAUACAUAACUACAGUCAUAAAUAAACAUAUGCCACCAACUCGAAAAUCAAAGCUAAGAUUUAUCAUGCUUAAAAAUUUCGUUUCGGUAUUAUUCGGUAUUAUUUUUUUCAACAAAAUUUUUUUAACCAGUUUAAAUAUAUAAAAAUAGUAUUGGCUAACAUGGAAACAGUUGCUGGGAGUUUUUCAAUGUGUUUUUGUUGCUGUUAAGCCUUAAGGCUAUAAAAAGCGAAUAACUUGCUGUUUUCUCGUUCGCAAAUAGAAAGCCAAUCAGAUUGCAGAAUAGCUUAUAUCCGGUAGCUGUCUAUAUAAUAAAUAUAUUUAUUGAAAAUAAUUCAAGAGUUUUGAUUGGCUAAGAGCUGUCGGUGAAAUCGUCAUAUCCACUCGUUAGCUGCCUAAAUUGAAAUUUGGAGUUAUGACAUCACAGUGGAAUAUUGAAAACAAAUAUACCACGUUUGACGUAAUUUCGUGGUAUAUUGAAAAACAAAGUACACGGCUUCGGCUGAUAACACAAACCUCGGCCUUAAUAAUUAAAAUGGCUCCCUAAUUUGUGCAGUCAUGUCACUCUAUGGUCCCCACAACCAAUAUCUUUUUGCCUUUUUUUAUCAGUCUUAAGUUCCAAGUACUGUUCAUGAUUCUUUAAUGUUGAAUCAGAUCUCUCGGAACCAGUGGAUGUAUAUAGUGAUUGGAUAGAUGCUUGCGAGUCGGCUAACCAAUAGCAAUGGCUUAACUGAUGAAGAGCGUUGUAAAUAAAUGUGGUGUAGAUUGAUCAAUAAACUUCGCUUCAGCAAAGUUAUUUAACAAUAUGUGGCAUGUGCAUAAUGGAGCCUUGUGGAGUCUCUUCAGAGAACUUGUGGUUCUUUCAGGUCUUUCCACUGUUACUAAAGGCCAACAAAUGGCAAUAUGAAACUGUCUUAUGGAGAGGAUAGAUGAACAGCCAAAUGUCGGUUAUCCUCAAAGUGAAAUAUAAAGGCCCAUCUACACUUAUCCUGGCGUAUGUAAUCAAAAUGUCACAUUUAACAAAUUAUUCUUAUAGAAAGGAAUUGUGGCGUCAGCAGUCAUUUUCAUACGCCAGAAUGACAAUCUCAAGGCCCGUCUGCACGAUUCGACCGGUAGUAUACGAUUCUUACCCUGGAGCCAGUUGCGCAAAGAUGGAUUAGCACUAACUCUCGGUUAAAAUUUGACCUGCUAGCGCUGUUUUAGUUAUGUAUUUCUGCACAUCUGUAUAUUUUAAAAGAAGAAUACUCCUACUGAUCCACACAAAGUUUCUAAACAAAUAUUUCCAAAUUUAUAAACAAGCUGUUGGGAAGUUUGCUUUGAAUUUUAGGUUAACCUAGGGUAAAGCUAAUCGGCUUUUGAACAACCGGCCCCUGGUGUAUGUAUUCGAAUUAAAUAAUUAAUGCGUGUAAAGAUACCACAUUUUCAAAUUUUGCCAUAAACUGAUAAACAUAGUGGUGUCAGCAAUCGUUUUCAUAUGUCCGAAUGACAAUCGUAUACGACUAGACGUAUCGUUUAAAUGAGCCUUUAAACAUAUGACUUUUAUUUUUUUGGUCUGUUUUUGUAAUUUGGUGCGAGGCAAGGUCAGGCAACGAAUAUCGCACUCGCUAUGAGAAUAUCAGGUCCUUUCUCUUUCGCAGAGGUUUCGAAUUUUUUCACUUGUGCAUGCGCGCACAAACACACUCUUCAGCAUCGCGUAAAAAAAUACGCUUAUAGAUUCACGUAUCGCUGUUUUUGAAUGUUGAUCCUGACCCUAAUCCUCACCUGAAGUGUUGACCGUAAUUCAUAACAGCGAGACUCGCAAAAUUCACGGAAACCUCUGCGGAGCAGAGAGAACUCUGGGUAGCAGACCCCACUGAAAAACACGUAUGUGAUGUGGGUAUCCUGGAUAAAUGUUAUUAUUAUUGUUAUUAUUAUUAUUAUUAUUACCAGCAGAGAGGUUCAGGUCUGUUAAACUUCUGUAUGACUUGUGAAAAAUAUAUUAUGUCAUGCAGAAAAAUAUAUUAUGGCCUUUGCCAAAUGAAUACAUGUUUCUGCUACCAAACCAUUUAUAUUUGAAUUGAAUUGAAUUGAUUUAAUGAUUACUGACUUUGUAACCCAAAAAGGUUAAAUUACACCAGUAUUACAUAAAUUAAGAGAAGUUAAAAUUACAUAAUAAUUACG